rnacentral:tRNA from 1 species
ACUCGUCUGGCUCAGUUGGUAGAGCAUGUGACUCUUGAUCUCGGGGUUGUGAGUUGGAAGCCCAUGCUGGGUA